UACGGAGGGUGCAAGCGUUAUCCGGAUUCACUGGGUUUAAAGGGUGCGUAGGUGGAUCAAUAAGUCAGUGGUGAAAGCCCCGGGCUCAACUUGGGAAUUGCCAUUGAUACUGUUGGUCUUGAGUACGGUUGAGGUAGGCGGAAUGUUACAUGUAGCGGUGAAAUGCUUAGAUAUGUAACAGAACACCGAUUGCGAAGGCAGCUUACCAAGCCGUAACUGACACUGAGGCACGAAAGCGUGGGGAUCAAACAGG
rnacentral:rRNA from 1 species